rnacentral:rRNA from 1 species
GACGAACGCUGGCGGCGUGCUUAACACAUGCAAGUCGAACGGAAAGGCCCUGCUUGCAGGGUACUCGAGUGGCGAACGGGUGAGUAACACGUGGGUGAUCUGCCCUGCACUUCGGGAUAAGCCUGGGAAACUGGGUCUAAUACCGGAUAGGAGCCAUUUUUAGUGUGAUGGUUGGAAAGUUUUUUCGGUGUAGGAUGAGCUUGCGGCCUAUCAGCUUGUUGGUGGGGUAAUGGCCUACCAAGGCGGCGACGGGUAGCCGGCCUGAGAGGGUGUGCGGCCACAUUGGGACUGAGAUACGGCCCAGACUCCUACGGGAGGCAGCAGUGGGGAAUUUUGCACAAUGGGCGGAAGCCUGAUGCAGCGACGCCGUGUGGGGGAUGAAGGCCUUCGGGUUGUAAACUCCUUUCGUCAGGGACGAAGUUUUUUUGACGGUACCUGGAUAAGAAGCACCGGCUAACUACGUGCCAGCCGCCGCGGUAA